CGGGUUAGCACAGUGGUAGUGCAGCGGUUUUGUAAACCGAAGGCCGGGGGUUCAAAUCCCUCACCCG
rnacentral:tRNA from 1 species